AACGAACGCUGGCGGCAUGCCUAACACAUGCAAGUCGAACGAGACCUUCGGGUCUAUUGUCGCACGGGUGCGUAACGCGUGGGAACCUGCCCUUAGGUUCGGAAUAACUCCCCGACAGGGGUGCUAAUACCGGAUAAUGUCUUCGGACCAAAGAUUUAUUGCCUUUGGAUGGGCCCGCGUUGGAUUAGCUAGUUUGUAGGGUAAAAGCCUACCAAGGCGACGAUCCAUAGCUGGGCUGAGAGGAUGAUCAGCCACACUGGGACUGAGACACGGCCCAGACUCCUACGGGAGGCAGCAGUGGGGAAUAUUGGACCAUGGGCGAAAGCCUGAUCCAGCAAUGCCGCGUGAGUGAUGAAGGACUUAGGGUUGUAAAGCUCUUUUACCCGGGAUGAUAAUGACAGUACCGGAAGAAUAAGCUCCGGCUAACUCCGUG
rnacentral:rRNA from 1 species